CUACGGGGGGCUCCAGUGGGGAAUCUUAGACAAUGGGGGAAACCCUGAUCUAGCCAUGCCGCGUGAGCGACGACGGCCCUAGGGUUGUAAAGCUCUUUCAGCAGGGAAGAUAAUGACGGUACCUGCAGAAGAAGUCCCGGCUAACUCCGUGCCAGCAGCCGCGGUAAUACGGAGGGGACUAGCGUUGUUCGGUAUUACUGGGCGUAAAGCGCGCGUAGGCGGAUUGUUAAGUCGGGGGUGAAAUCCCGGGGCUCAACCCCGGAACUGCCCUCGAUACUGGCAGUCUUGAGUUCGAGAGAGGUGAGUGGAAUUCCGAGUGUAGAGGUGAAAUUCGUAGAUAUUCGGAAGAACACCAGUGGCGAAGGCGACUAACUGGACAUAUAUUGACGCUGAGGUACGAAAGCGUGGGGAGCAAACAGGAUUAGAUACCCUCGUAGUC
rnacentral:rRNA from 1 species